rnacentral:rRNA from 1 species
AUUGAACGCUGGCGGCAUGCCUUACACAUGCAAGUCGAACGGCAGCACGGGAGCAAUCCUGGUGGCGAGUGGCGAACGGGUGAGUAAUACAUCGGAACGUGCCCAAUCGUGGGGGAUAACGUAGCGAAAGCUACGCUAAUACCGCAUACGAUCUACGGAUGAAAGCAGGGGAUCGCAAGACCUUGCGCGAAUGGAGCGGCCGAUGGCAGAUUAGGUAGUUGGUGGGGUAAAGGCCUACCAAGCCGACGAUCUGUAGCUGGUCUGAGAGGACGACCAGCCACACUGGGACUGAGACACGGCCCAGACUCCUACGGGAGGCAGCAGUGGGGAAUUUUGGACAAUGGGCGCAAGCCUGAUCCAGCCAUGCCGCGUGCAGGAUGAAGGCCUUCGGGUUGUAAACUGCUUUUGUACGGAACGAAACGGCGCUUUCUAAUACAGAGCGCUAAUGACGGUACCGUAAGAAUAAGCACCGGCUAACUACGUGCCAGCCGCCGCCGUAAAAC